UACGAAGGGUGCAAACGUUGCUCGGAAUUAUUGGGCGUAAAGCGCACGUAGGCGGACUCUUAAGUCGGGUGUGAAAUUUCGGAGCUUAACUCCGAAACUGCAUUCGAUACUGCGGUGCUUGAGGACUGGAGAGGAAACUGGAAUUCAUGGUGUAGCAGUGAAAUGCGUAGAGAUCAUGAGGAAGACCAGUGGCGAAGGCGGGUCUCUGGACAGUUCCUGACACUGAGGCACGAAGGCCAGGGGAGCAAACGGG
rnacentral:rRNA from 1 species